rnacentral:rRNA from 1 species
CAGCCGCCGCGGGAAUACAGAGGGUGCAAGCGUUAAUCGGAAUUACUGGGCGUAAAGCGCGCGUAGGUGGUUUGUUAAGUUGGAUGUGAAAUCCCCGGGCUCAACCUGGGAACUGCAUUCAAAACUGACUGACUAGAGUAUGGUAGAGGGUGGUGGAAUUUCCUGUGUAGCGGUGAAAUGCGUAGAUAUAGGAAGGAACACCAGUGGCGAAGGCGACCACCUGGACUAAUACUGACACUGAGGUGCGAAAGCGUGGGGAGCAAACAGGAUUAGAUACCCGCGUAGUCCCUGUCUCUUAUAC